rnacentral:rRNA from 1 species
UACGUAGGGACCGAGCGUUGUCCGGAAUCAUUGGGCGUAAAGAGCGUGUAGGCGGCCUGUUAAGUCUUGCGUGAAAUCUCGGGGCUCAACCCCGAGCGGUCGGUGAGAAACUGGCAGGCUAGAGUGCGGGAGAGGAGAGUGGAAUUCCUGGUGUAGCGGUGAAAUGCGCAGAUAUCAGGAAGAACACCCGUGGCGAAAGGCGGCUCACUGGACCGGGUACUGACGCUGAUGCGCGAAAGCGUGGGGAGCAAACGGG